rnacentral:rRNA from 1 species
UACGGAGGAGGCAAGCGUUAUCCGGAAUUAUUGGGCGUAAAGCGUCCGCAGGUGGCACCUCAAGUCUGCUGUCAAAGUCCGGGGCUUAACCCCAGAAAGGCAGUGGAAACUGAAGUGCUAGAGUGCAGUAGGGGUAGAGGGAAUUCCCGGUGUAGCGGUGAAAUGCGUAGAGAUCGGGAAGAACAUCGGUGGCGAAAGCGCUCUGCUGGACUGCAACUGACACUCAGGGACGAAAGCUAGGGGAGCGAAUGGG